rnacentral:rRNA from 1 species
GACGAACGCUGGCGGCGUGCUUAACACAUGCAAGUCGAACGCUGAAGCACCAGCUUGCUGGUGUGGAUGAGUGGCGAACGGGUGAGUAAUACGUGAGUAACCUGCCCUUGACUCUGGGAUAAGCCCGGGAAACUGGGUCUAAUACUGGAUGCUACAUGUCACCGCAUGGUGGUGUGUGGAAAGGGUUUACUGGUCUUGGAUGGGCUCACGGCCUAUCAGCUUGUUGGUGAGGUAAUGGCUCACCAAGGCGACGACGGGUAGCCGGCCUGAGAGGGUGACCGGCCACACUGGGACUGAGACACGGCCCAGACUCCUACGGGAGGCAGCAGUGGGGAAUAUUGCACAAUGGGCGAAAGCCUGAUGCAGCGACGCCGCGUGAGGGAUGACGGCCUUCGGGUUGUAAACCUCUUUCAGCAGGGAAGAAGCCACAAGUGGCGGUACCUGCAGAAGAAGCGCCGGCUAACUACGUG